rnacentral:rRNA from 1 species
CUCGUAGGCGGCUUGUCGCGUCGGCUGUGAAAACCUGGGGCUCAACCCCGGGCCUGCAGCCGAUACGGGCAAGCUAGAAUUCGGUAGGGGAGACUGGAAUUCCUGGUGUAGCGGUGAAAUGCGCAGAUAUCAGGAGGAACACCGGUGGCGAAGGCGGGUCUCUGGGCCGAUAUUGACGCUGAGGAGCGAAAGCGUGGGGAGCAAACAGGAUUAGAUACCCUGGUAGUCCACGCCGUAAACGUUGGGCGCUAGGUGUGGGCCACAUUCCACGUGGUCUGUGCCGUAGCUAACGCAUUAAGCGCCCCGCCUGGGGAGUACGGCCGCAAGGCUAAA